rnacentral:rRNA from 1 species
AGCAGUAGCCGCGGUAAUACGUAGGUCCCGAGCGUUGUCCGGAUUUAUUGGGCGUAAAGCGAGCGCAGGCGGUUAGAUAAGUCUGAAGUUAAGGGCUGUGGCUUAACCAUAGUACGCUUUGGAAACUGUUUAACUUGAGUGCAGAAGGGGAGAGUGGAAUUCCAUGUGUAGCGGUGAAAUGCGUAGAUAUAUGGAGGAACACCGGUGGCGAAAGCGGCUCUCUGGUCUGUAACUGACGCUGAGGCUCGAAAGCGUGGGGAGCAAACAGGAUUAGAUACCCCUGUAGUCCCUGUCUCUUAUACA